rnacentral:rRNA from 1 species
AUGCUACUCACUGUCGUUUUGGUCAUUUUUCUGUUUUUUGUGGUUACGAAAAAGGGAGGUGGAAAGUCAGUGCCAAAUGCAUGGCAAUCCUUGGUCGAGCUUAUUUAUGAUUUCGUGAUGAACCUGGUAAAUGAACAAAUAGGUGGUCUUUCCGAAAAUGUGAAACAAAAGUUUUUCCCUGCAUCUCGGUCACUUUUACUUUUUUGUUAUUUCGUAAUCCCCAGGGUAUGA